rnacentral:rRNA from 1 species
UACGUAGGGGGCUAGCGUUGUCCGGAUUUAUUGGGCGUAAAGAGCGUGUAGGCGGCCAGGUAGGUCUGGUGUGAAAACUCGAGGCUUAACCUCGAGAUGUCAUCGGAAACCAUCUGGCUAGAGUCCGGAAGAGGAGAGUGGAAUUCCUGGUGUAGCGGUGAAAUGCGCAGAUAUCAGGAAGAACACCAAUGGCGAAGGCAGCUCUCUGGGACGGUACUGACGCUGAGGCGCGAAAGCGUGGGGAGCGAACAGG